UAUUUGUGUUAUUUUUGUCUCGAGUGUGCACUUCAGCUGUUUGAGUAAAAGUAUGUGGUUGUGUCAGCCAGGAGUUGGUUUUUUUUUUCCAUGAAUUCUUUUUUUGCUUCAUUGAGUUUCACUUCUGGCUUUGAUGUUGUAGACAUGCACACUGGCCGUAUGUACUAAUACUUGAUGGAACGAUUGCACAGAAAAAAACAAGGAGCACACAUCCGAGAGAGUUGGAGUUCAUGAAAGGGCAUAGCAUGUCUUGGUGCUUUUAUUUAUACAAUUUUUAGGUGACCUAUAAUUUUACUUUUUCUAACUCUAUUGUCGGAACAAUACGGAUAGAUAGGUAUGGUCUUUUAUUCUAGCGAAUGGAUGGCAUGCCUUCAUGCUUAUCAUCCUAGAGGGCACACUUGAAACAACCUAUUUCUUCCUCGAGUCUUAGGUGCCACAUUGUACACUAUUAUUGAUCUUUGCUUUCUUUGACGAUGGGCAGCCCUAAGUCGCCACCCUCUUCUCCCACCAAACCAUCUUCCUCAUCUUUCCUCAUGUGCCCCGGAGCACAAACUCUCCCGUGACACCCCCUUCCAGUUGUUUAAUCUAAUCCACUGUCAAUAUUUUCCUAUUGCUAAGCACACUGCAUAUAUACCUUUUUUUGCAUUUGCACUGCAAUAUGGUUGUUCUUCCUCUUACUGCAAAGGUCAUUACUAUUCUUAUUCCUCAAUUUUAUAGCUGCAUGUGGCUGCAUAUGGUACUGUGAAAAUACAAUAACGAAAAUAUAAUAGUCACCUGUAUCUUGAUUAUUGUCUCCCAACAAUUGUACAAAUGAAUACUAUCAGAUUUAUGGAUUCAUGAAUUUCACAUUAUAGGAAGGAGUAGCCAGUUCUGGAUCAUUAUUUGCCACAAUUACUGACAAGUGACAAAAAAAAUCAUGUUUCACAACAACUGAGGCAUGGACAUCUACUCCUAUAUGUGGCAUCAUAUAUUUUGUAAUGUCAAACUCCAAACAACCACCGCUGAUUUUUGGAGUUACAGAAACUACUGUUAUCAUGGAAACUUAUCUCUAGAAGUUGGCAAAAAUGAACCAGCUUCGGAGAAUGAUUAUUCUUGUGAGAUGGACGGUAUGGGAUGAUAAAUCAAACAAGUACUCCUAAUGUUUUCUUACCGGUCAGACUAAACAGUUUAUUUAUCCGCUGGCAUGGUUUGCAGUUGCAGCUGGACAAUGGUCGUGGUGUUCCUUGAGCCAAUAUUUGCUGCUACAAUUUCUAUAAAACGAAGGUGGUCAAUUGCUGUGGAAUUUAAGGUGUUCCUAGGAGGCCUUUGGUCUGCUUCUUGGGACCCAGGUAACUAUAGCAUUGGAUAGUAACCAAGGCAAUAAGGCAAUUUCAUUUGGCGUCUUUGCGGUCGUAUUGAUAGUAGUUAAUGCAGGGAAAUCUAGGCAGGCAACUGUUGUGAUGCCUAGAUGCAGGAUAGGUGCAACACUAUAUAAAGCCUUGAAUCUGUUAGAAACAGAGAAGUGUCUGAUAUACAAAAUAUCAGAUUAUGUCCCAAUACAACAUGAUUUGUGUAGACAAAGGAUAUUGUGAUUAUCAUCUUAUGACUUCCCGUGGCAUGAAAUUGUACUAGAGCUUCAGCAUCUGAGAAACUGCCAGCAUGAUCAAGAGGUGGUUCAUCACAUCGAUGGAAGCUUACUGCCAUGUUCUUGGAGUUGAGGUGUUCCUUCAUAUGAUUGCCGGAAGUAUUCUUGCUGGGAUCUACUAUGCAUUCUCUCCUAAGGGUAGAUUGGUCCAUCCUCACACAUCCAUUGAAGAUAUUUGAUGGGCUGUCGAACACUCCUCCAAAUCACAUGACAAAAGAGGAACACUUCCUUUUCUCUGGAGCUUCAGGGACUAAUAUCAAAGACUUGGACUGGCCGACUGGGAUGGAUUGGAAAAGAAAACCCAUCUAUAGUUAUAUGACUCCCUUUUCUUUUCUGUUCCAGUAGAUGAAAUGUACUUUUAUGUACAUAUAUGUAAUAUAAAGAUGUAUGGACUGAAAGAGUUGUUCCAAACUGAAAGAUAGAUAAUCAACAAUAGUAUGGUACGGUCAAAUCACUUUGGCAUAUAAGUUUAGCAUAAUUGAUGAGCUUUUACUUCUUUUACUUAAUUAUUUUGACUUCUUAUAAUGGGGCUUGAUUGUUGAGAAAACUGAGGGUAGUACCUCGGAGAGACUUGUAGGUGAUCGAAGGCCGGGUUUAAUUAGUGCCAGGGUUCCAUUUCUAUAACAUGUCACUGCUUCUUGAAACGCCCCCAGCUCUACCUCGCUGGUCAGGUGGUGGCAAGACGCUGUGCAGGCGGCGGGGCGAAGCCCGCCUGUUUGUCUAGUUACUACUAUCUUGCUAGCAUUCCCUGUUUGCUACGAAUAUGGUGGGGAGACUGGAGGGGCGGCGCCACCACACGAAGCUGCUGGCCCCGUUUCCAUGGCGCGCCGCCGGGAGGGCGCCCACCUCCACCACGCGUUGCAGCCCUCCCACCCCCCAUCUCCAUGGCGCGCCGCCGGGAAGGGCCUCGCCCCUACCACGUGUCAUUGGACCCAGCACGCCGUCGGACCCUGCCAGCGGAUCGACUCGUCUUCCCUCAACUCCCGCAUCUCCCUGGCUCCAAGGAUGCAACAAUACUAGGUUCUCUACAUUUCUAGUUGUAAAUUUUGGAGCUGGGAUAUAUUUUUGAUUUUAUUUUAUUUAUUAGAUCCAGA